CCGAUAAUUUUGUUUGGGCGCUUUGCGACAUUUCAUGUGGGUAAUCGUCAACAACACUGCAGUGCACCCAGUACAACAUUUAUUCCUUGUCUGGAUGUAUAAAAUAUUUAUUUGUUGCCAUUUAUGUACAUUUUUAUAAUAUUGAACCUUGGCCUUUCCGCAUAAGAAUCGACGAAAAUAUUUCAGUAAACACAAAUAUAUAUACAUAAGUACCUACUGUUAUUUUUUUCACAAAACUUUGUCAAGACUAUUGCGUACUGCCUACCCGGUAAACGAAUUGCGACACGACAACGAAGUUAGAUUGUGUUUUUAUUAGGGUGUCGGAUAGUGGCACGGUAAUUGGGUGGCGUCGUCUAAGAAAACAUUUUCGAUUGAAACGAGUGCGUAAUCCAAUCACAGUCGUGAUAACACAUAAUAAUAAAUGCACCCCCUCUUACCCGUUGCCACGUCUAUAUAUAAGUAUGCCUAAGAAAACCAAAUUAAAAGAGCCGAACGAAAUUAUUCAGAAUUUUAAUACACAACGCGCCAUUCAAUUAUACGAGUUUGUUUCACAUCAAUUUCUGAAAUUUUAUCGCACUAAUUCAAUUGCAAGUAUGACUGAAAACUUGUCUUAUAUAAGGCCGGUCCCCGGCACAGCGCAUAAUCUCUGAUAAUCAUUGAAAACGGUAAUAAAUUUAAACCGAGAUUUCUUACAUAUCGCAUAACGUUACGUCCCGUUGUAGAAAAUAUCUUAAAUUCAUAUACCAUGAAAUGCAUCUAUUAGUACUACACAUCCCACAUAAUAUUAUCAGUUUAGUAAAACAUACACAAGGGUUAAAUUGUUCUUCGAAUAGACUAAGGGUACCCCUGCUACCUCUUAGCAUUGUAUACGAUACAUACCGACGAAUUAUCGCUGUCCAGCCGACUUUUUUGAUUAAACUCGUACCUAAUUAUAAAUUGGGGUUUCUUUUUUCAAACUAUGCGGUACGAUAACUUUUGUUACGGGCGAAGAGGGUAUAAUGUAGCAGUGGCGUUUAUAGAAAUACCGUUGCUACUGAAUCCGUCUCGUGUCUUAGUUUCACACGACCUGGGGCAGCGGAGAUUUAGAAACACGCAACAACAGUCUCUUAUUAUUUAAUAAUAUGUAAUAUAGACAAAGCGGUGACGAAGAAUGCCCAUUGCACAAAUAAAAAGAACCCCCACGAGAACGACGUGGCCGUUGUUGGCAAACAGAGUCCGUGACUGACCUCUGGGCGUCCAGGUGCAACGCCACUUGCAGGGGGCCUCAUUGUUCGGCCCUCGUCGUGAGUGUACCUACCUACAUUAAUUAUUAAAUGUGCUCAUGCCGCGUAAAACAAUGGACAACCGGAUUUUAGAACCGCGCCGGGCGAUAUUUACCCAACAAAAGGGUUAUCUUGUCCGUCAGUCGUCGCUGGGACAGAGCCGUCGUCGCAUCGGAUCGGGUUGACCAUGGUGGACAAGACAAAACAAUAUUUCGAGAGACUCUAGACGUCGCAAUUCACCAGAUAGAGGUUAAAAUCGGAAGCCAACAUUCGAAAUUGAUUCGCUUGGGUUUUUGUAUUACACACAAUGAAGAUGCAUUCAUUUUUUUGAGUUGCUACUAAUACAAUACAAUAUUGUCCGAAAAAAUAACAUAACUGAAUCGAAACAAUUUAUUCCGAUAUGUUUAGUUCGGUUAAAAUGAGAAAAUGUUUUAAUUAAAACACAGUUCAACGAGUAAAAGUUUGUUUCUCGUGGAAAUUUGCUAUGUAUAAUAAGUAUAUAUAAAAUAAGUACUAUGUAUUUUUGUUUGGAAAUAUAUUUUACUUUUUCGUUCAA